CCGUCAAUUCCUUUGAGUUUCAGUCUUGCGACCGUACUCCCCAGGCGGCGAACUUAACGCGUUAGCUUCGAUACUGCGUGCCAAGUUGCACCCAACAUCCAGUUCGCAUCGUUUAGGGCGUGGACUACCAGGGUAUCUAAUCCUGUUUGCUCCCCACGCUUUCGUGCCUCAGUGUCAGUGUUGGUCCAGAUGGCCGCCUUCGCCACAGAUGUUCCUCCCGAUCUCUACGCAUUUCACUGCUACACCGGGAAUUCCGCCAUCCUCUACCACACUCUAGUUGCCCAGUAUCCACUGCAAUUCCCAGGUUGAGCCCAGGGCUUUCACAACGGACUUAAACAACCACCUACGCACGCUUUACGCCCAGUAAUUCCGAGUAACGCUUGCACCCUUCGUAUUACCG
rnacentral:misc_RNA from 1 species